rnacentral:rRNA from 1 species
GAUGAACGCUGGCGGCGUGCCUAAUACAUGCAAGUCGAGCGAGCAGACGAGGAGCUUGCUCCUCUGACGUUAGCGGCGGACGGGUGAGUAACACGUGGAUAACCUACCUAUAAGACUGGGAUAACUUCGGGAAACCGGAGCUAAUACCGGAUAAUAUAUUGAACCGCAUGGUUCAAUAGUGAAAGACGGUUUUGCUGUCACUUAUAGAUGGAUCCGCGCCGCAUUAGCUAGUUGGUAAGGUAACGGCUUACCAAGGCAACGAUGCGUAGCCGACCUGAGAGGGUGAUCGGCCACACUGGAACUGAGACACGGUCCAGACUCCUACGGGAGGCAGCAGUAGGGAAUCUUCCGCAAUGGGCGAAAGCCUGACGGGGCAACGCCGCGUGAGUGAUGAAGGUCUUCGGAUCGUAAAACUCUGUUAUUAGGGAAGAACAAAUGUGUAAGUAACUAUGCACGUCUUGACGGUACCUAAUCAGAAAGCCACGGCUAACUACGUG